AAGUCGUAACAAGGUUUCCGUAGGUGAACCUGCGGAAGGAUCAUUAAAGUUUGCUUAAUUGCAUUACACGUGUUUUUUUAGAGAACUUGCUUGCAAGAACACUAAUAAUUUACUUAGUCAACAAAUAAAAAUAUCAAAACUUUCAACAACGGAUCUCUUGGUUCUCGCAUCGAUGAAGAACGCAGCGAAAUGCGAUACGUAAUAUGAAUUGCAGAUUUUCGUGAAUCAUCGAAUCUUUGAACGCACAUUGCGCCCUGUGGUAUUCCACAGGGCAUGCCUGUUUGAGCGUCAUUUCUCCCUCAAACCUCUGGUUUGGCGUUGAGUGAUACUCGGUUUACUUGAAAAACAUGAAAAGCAUAACUAUUAGGUUUUACCAACUCGUUAUACUAAUCUACAAGUUUGACCUCAAAUCAGGUAGGACUACCCGCUGAACUUAA
rnacentral:rRNA from 1 species